GGUAAAAUGGCUGAGUUUAAGCAAUAAACUGUAAAUUUAUUCACGAAAUUUUAUUUUCUUUUACCA
rnacentral:tRNA from 1 species